UUUAUGAAAAAAUUGAUGAGAGACAAUGAAUUCAUUUCUCUUGAAUCAAUGGUUCUCAGCCUUUUUAACUCGUGCACCCCUUACCAUUUGGAAUCUUAGUUUUUCUGUUUCCCCUGGACAUUAUUCAGUUUUGUAAUAAAUGGUUAAUAGUAAGAACUGAUGGCCAUGAUUUUACCUCGCUUGACGUGUCUUCUCAUGCACAACAAAUCAUCAGAAGUUUCAGUCCCUUGUCAUCUCCUCCGUGAGGAGGUGACACCGCUUCUUCCUGAGCAGUAUAUUACCGGUUAGGACAUAAGUGUUCAGAAUGUUAAUGACAGUUUUGUGCUGACUAUUGUACUUGCUAAUAUUGCUGACACUUCAAACAUAGACAUUUGCCUGAAUACAAACAUCUGGAAAUUCAUAAAGAGACUUCACAACAAUCAGAAGUUGACUAUUAAUCCCGAACUUCUGCAAUAGACUCCACAUGUCUCACAGCACGUAGUCAUAAGCCUUUUUGUUGUGUCAUUCUAUGUAACCAUGUUUUGUUAUUGUGAUUUUCAUAACUAUUAUAAUUGUUAUUAUUACUACUAUAACAAGUGGUGAAACCACCAUAACAUGGGUUUGUCACUGAUAUAUUUGAAUGGAAAAACGAAAAAGCUUUUCAUAAACUUCGCAAAUAACUUCACUACUUUAGCAUGCCAGACAAAAUGCUUAGCAACUUUUCAUCUUGCUUUAUAUCUUGAGUUCAGAUUCUGCUGAGGUCAACUUUGUCUUUCAAGCAUUCAGGGUUGAUGAAAUAAGUACCAGUUGAGCAUUGGGUAAACAAACAGAAAAGAAAUAGAAAAGCAGAAUUUCCAUGAACUGACCUUGAAUUGAUUCUGAAAAGAAGAAACAAGAAAGAAACUUGCUAUGAACUAAUGGAGAGAAUAAAUGCUAACUCUUAUACAACAUUAA